rnacentral:rRNA from 1 species
GGAUUAGAUACCCUGGUAGUCCACGCUGUAAACGAUGUCGACUAGCCGUUGGGCUCAUUUAAGGGUUUAGUGGCGCAGCUAACGCGAUAAGUCGACCGCCUGGGGAGUACGGCCGCAAGGUUAAAACUCAAAGGAAUUGACGGGGGCCCGCACAAGCGGUGGAGCAUGUGGUUUAAUUCGAUGCAACGCGAAGAACCUUACCAGCCCUUGACAUCCCGCGGACUUGGUUGAGAGACCGAGGUGCCUUCGGGAGCGCGGUGACAGGUGCUGCAUGGCUGUCGUCAGCUCGUGCCG